GUGAGGCUUUCGGACUGGCCCAGAGGAGUCGGCAACGACACCUCAGGGCCGGAAAGUUAUCCAAACUCGGUCAUUUAGAGGAAGUAAAAGUCGUAACAAGGUCUCCGUUGGUGAACCAGCGGAGGGAUCAUU
rnacentral:rRNA from 2 species